CAAAAAAAAAAAAAAAAAAAAAAAAAAAAAAAAAAAAAAGUUGUGGUCUGGCGGCACAGGCCCCCGCUCCUUGAGACAAUCCAAUUAGCAUGAAACAGAUAAAUGAAGAUUUCAAUAAAAGUGAAGAUCUUCCCAGGAUUUUCAUAUAGAAACUAAGUUUCAGUUUCUUGUUUGUUAAGUACUGUUUCUCCCUUCCCAUCCUGUUCCCUUUCCUACCAAAUGGUAUUACAUGUGGUAUAUUAUUGCAGUUGAAAAGAAGCACAAAUUAAAAUUAGGAGUUUUGUGUAAGUAGACAUAUAAAGGUAAUAGAUUAAAAAUACUAAACAAAUAAUUCACUGAUAUCUGACCUAGUCAACUCUAAUCUUUGUAAACAGUAGCUGAAUGUAGAAAUGAAGAGUUAGGAAAAGAAUACUAAAAUUACUAGAAUACUUUGUUCCCAAGGCAUCUUUUCAAACUAUUAUGAAAUAUGAACUAAUUCAUGUCUAAAAACUGCUUAAAUUUCGGUUAUUUUUAUUACCACUGGCCUGCUUUAUCAUCUUAAGUUAUAAUUAAAAAUUAAAAACAAAAAUUUAUCAUCAAGUAAACUCUUUAAGUAUAGAUUUUAUCCACCCUCCCCUUAUUUUUGUGUUUUCAAGAGGGCUUCUCUGUGCAGCCUUGGCUGUCCUGGUCCCGUUGCCUCUGCUUCCUGAGUGCUGGGAUUAAAGGUGUGUGGCACCACUGCCCAGCUUUCUUUCUCUCUCUUUCUUUUUUGUCAUCCUCCCUCCCUUUUAAGAUGGGUUCUUGCUCUGUAGCCCAGGCUGGCCUCACACUCGUGCUUUUAUCCUGAGUGUUGGUAUUGAUUACUUCUCCCCACCCUGCUUCCGUUUUCCUCCUUUUCCAUUUUCUUUUCCCGUUGUAAUGGACAGGAGUGGGAUGGUAGGAGGAACCCUCACUAUGUUGCCUAAGCUGGCCUAGUCCUCAUGACUAGCCGGGACAAUAAGCAUAGACAGUGUCUUAAAGAAUGCAAAGCAGAGAUUUACUUAAAAAUUGUAUUUUGAAGUUUAAAAAGAAACUUUGUAAUAGAGGUGACCUCAGAUCAUGAAAAGCUUCUUUAAUAAGACAGUGCUUAUCUGCUUUUAACAGAGGAAAGGGUAUUUUAUCUGAGUAUAUUUUUUUCAUAUCCAUAAUUGAUAUUUGAGGCCAAGACAUCAGCAUUUAAUAAAAGAAUUAAAAUAUACAUUUGAUUUUUAAAGACUUUAAAGAUGUUAACUGUAAUUAGUUUGAAACAUGAAAUCAGAAUAUCAGCUUGCUUUUUUUUUUCAGUAUCUGCCAUUUAUAAUAAAGUGCUUGGUUAUACUUGUAAAUAAAGAAAUGAUACACAUAUGUAUAGAAAGGAAAUUAAACUUUAAAAAAAAGAUUUAAUUUAUUAUAUAUUAUAUGUAAGUACAUGUAGCUGUCUUCAGAUACUCCAGAAGAGGGGUGUUACAGAAGAUUACGUUACAGAUGGUUGUAAGCCACCAUGCGGUUGCUGGGAUUUGAACUCCGGACCUUCAGAAGAGCAGUUGGUGCUCUGUUAAGCUCUGUUAAGCUGGGUCAUUUCUUCAGCCCAGGAAUUUAAAACUUAAAAAAAUCUGCUGUCCCUUUUGUGAAGGUACUUUCUGCAUCCUAGAUGGUUUCAUUUUUUUUUUUUUGGUGGUAUUAUACAUGCUUAUUAUAUGAAGAACUUGCUCCUUCACCAUUACUUAAUAAAGUCACUUUAUUUAUUUGAUGGUUUCUUCUUUCACAGGAAUGAAGGAUAGUUUUCAUUAGGUAUAUUUUAUUAGUUCAUUAAGAAUUUAAAGUUAAUUAGUAACUUCCAUAAUGCUGUUAACAGGAACGUAGGAAGAAAAGCCAAAUGUCUUAGAAUGUUAAAGUUAAGAAAGGUGGAGGCUUUUCUCAGUUUGGAUAUGAUAUAUAUGUUAUUCAGUAUAGUAGUAGCUGUGAAAUUAAGUGUCAGGAGUGUAUUAAAGCUUCAUGUGGCUAAUACUGGAUAAUUUAGCCUCAGUAUAUCAGAAUUUAACAUUAUGAGUAAAUUAAUUUUAUGAAACCUCAAAAACCUUAAGGCAGAAAUCUGAUAGAAGCUCCAGAAAGAAGCCAAUUUCAAAGUUAAAUAAUUUUUUGUUAACUAGAAUAAUUGCAAAUAACUGUGCCUUAAGAUCAAACCCAUUAAGAUAUUUUAAUAGUUAUAUAUUUAGUAGUAAAGUUAAUUCCACUCGUUGUUAGCCAACAUUAAUUACCAAAAGAAACCCCAGAUUAUUUUAUCUUAAAAGCAAAAGUACAUUUUAUAAGUAUUGAAAACAAACCCUAGUUUUAAUGAAACUACUAACAAUGAAGUAAAAAAGAAAUUUACACAAUAUUUUUCCACAAAUCCAGCCCUACAAAGGAUAGUAGAUGGAAAACUCCAACACAAGGAGGGAUUGGCAGGAUUAAUAUAAUAAAAAUGGUCAUCUUGAUGAAAGCAAUCUACAGAUUUUAUGAAAUCCCCGUCAAAAACCAACUCAAUUUUUCAUGGAGUUAGAAAGAGAAAUUUUUGAAUUCACUUGGAAU
rnacentral:lncRNA from 1 species